UAUGGCCUAUGGGUAUGUCUGUCUGCUGUGGGAUCGCGAUGGGAGAUUCUGAGAUAUCUGAACCAGUGAACACGCUUGCGCGUGGAUUUUUAUUUUUAUUUUUGCAUCCUGCUCGGCCAGUUGGAUCUCUGGCCGCAUACCAAAUGGAUGUUUUCGGCUCGUGUGUAGUAGUGCCGUCCCACUCUGAAAUUGCGGUCGUGGGAAGUGGGUGCCUGUCCACCAACUAAACUCAUUCGGAAUCAUCACGCACGGCCUCCACUGGUGCCGAACGAUGGCAUUCAUUGGCCUGCUUAAUUAUCCAGCGUCAUAAAGCUACUGCGGGAAAUGAAACUCUACUGCUACCCAAGAGAAGAAAAUGCUGCUCACAUUCCAUGGUUCUAUUUGUGUUUACCGGAGCAUCUGAGACUCAAUCAUUGUGCCGUUGAUUUCUUAUUUGAGGCCCCCUUUUGUUCAUCGUGACACUAGCGGUUCCCAGUUAUCCAAGCCUAAUCCCCUGUGUAAAAUAACCUGGAUGUGUGAUGCCAAAGACACCAUAGAAUAACAAAUCCGUGGGCCGAUUGCUAACGACAGAAGGAUUG
rnacentral:lncRNA from 1 species